rnacentral:lncRNA from 1 species
AGGAAUUGAACUAAUUAGCUAGAGCUAUAUAUUGGCCUUGAGCUUCAGAGGAAAGAUUAAUAAAGGUGAAAAAACAAUUUUAAAGGCAAAAAUAGCCAAGAGAGGGGUGACAACUUUCAUUUGCUUUUUGGACUUCCUUCUCUCUUUUUGUCUUCUUAUUAUAAUCCUACAACUUGUCUCCAUAUAAUUUCUAUCUUCUCCACCUUUCAUUCUUCUUCUUCUUCUUUGGAAUUUCUCUGAUCAAGAAGAUAGUAAAAGUAGAAAAUUAUAAAGAGAAGUUCUAAAGAAGAUUUUAUAUUAUAUGGCACCUGUUUCAUUGCCCCCAGGUUUCAGGUUUCAUCCAACAGAUGAAGAACUUGUUGCUUACUAUUUGAAAAGAAAGAUCAAUGGUAGGAAAAUUGAACUUGAGGUCAUUCCUGAAGUUGAUCUCUACAAAUGUGAGCCAUGGGAUUUACCAGGUAUAUAUAACUCCAUUUCUACUUUUUGUUUUGGCCUUCUUUAGAAGCAAAAAACAAAAAGAAAAAAAAAUGGUUAUAUAACUCCCUUUAAUUCCAUUUUUAAUUUGUUUUGAUGUUCUUUAAAUUAAAUCAAGUGUCAUAAAAGACGUGUGUCAAAGGAAAAUUACGAUGUGAAAGCAUAUUGUAUAUUUUCCUAAUUUGUAAUCGUGACGUGUCUCUGGGAUAAAUACAUAUAGAAAGAAAAAGAAACAUUACCUAGCAGCUAGUCCCUCCAAAGUGAUUGUCAAGAAAGGUAUAACAACUAAAGAUAUUGUAAUAAUUACUAUUUACUUUUUUCUUUGAUAUAUAUUGAAAGACUACUCAUGUGUAUUUUUAACAUGUAAUUAUUCUAUGUUUUAAAAACUUGAGAAAGGAAAUGAUCACAAGCUAAAUAUGCUAGAAAAGAAAGAUCAGAAAUUGAAGAAUUUAAAGGUAUUUUCUUGUAAAGGUACUCUUCAGUUAAGGUACUCACAUGAUAAUUACAAGCUUCAGUUAG